rnacentral:rRNA from 1 species
UUACUUGAUAUAUAAUUAAAGGGCCGCGGUAAUUUGACCGUGCGAAGGUAGCAUAGUCAGUAGUCUUUUAAUUGAAGGCUUGAAUGAAAGGUUGGACGAGGGAUAAGCUGUCUCCUUUACAUAAUUUUGAAUUUAACUUUUGAGUGAAAAGGCUCAAAUUUUUUAAUGGGACGAUAAGACCCUAUAAAACUUAAUAUAAUUUUGGCUUAAUUUGUGAUUAUUAGUGAAAAGUAGUUUUGCCGGGCUUAUAUUUCGUUGGGGAGAUGUAGAUAUAAUAUGUAACUGUCUAUAUAAUUUAAUAAUUAUAAUUAGUAUUUGAUCCUUCUUUGUGGAUUAGAAGAAUAAGUUACUUUAGGGAUAACAGCGUGAUUUUCUUUGAGAGUUCUUAUCGACAAGAGUAGUUGCGACCUCGAUGUUGAAUUAAAAUUUCAGCUAGGUGUAGCCGUUUAGCUGGUGCGGGGUCUGUUCGACCUUUAAAAUUUUACAUGAUUUGAGUUCAGACCGGGCGCCA